rnacentral:tRNA from 1 species
GGUUAGUUUUUUACGUUGAUAUCUGCAAAAUGUCAGUAGGUUUUGCACCACUAAUCA